AUAAAAGGCCUAUCGCAACGCGACCUUUGUAAAUGUUGCUAAAAAAUGUUACCUUAGCUACACUACUUUCACCCUUCCGCAACAUAAUAUUUUUCAUGUUAGCUUAGCCAAAAAGGGGAUGUUGCCUUUGUUAGAAAGUGUUUAAGGGUGCAACAUGGAGACAAAUAUGUUAGCUUAAGCUAUUAAAAUGUGAAAAUAAUAUUUUAACUUAAAAUUAAAGAAAAAAGUAAUUACUUGUAUUAAAAAUAAAAAUAGAAGUUAUGUAAUAAUAUAAACUAAAAAUAUAAAAAAUUAUAUAAAAUAUUAAAUAAUUUAAUAGGUGAAUGAUUUUAUUUUAAAUAAUAAAUAUAUGUUUAUUUAUUUAAAAAGUAAAAUAAAAUGUAAACAAAAAAAUAAAAUAUAAACUAAAUAUAUGUAUAUAUGUUUAUUUGAACAAGCGGGCGUGGUUCCCGGUGAAAUCAGACAAGCAGCGGGACUUUGUUUCACUAACACCCCGCCCCAUUUUUUCACUUCCUUUUCCACUCACACUCAGUCAUCUCUCAUUUUCCACACAGUCCUCUCUCGCUCUUCACCCCCACAUCUCGUCUCUCUCUCUCUCUUUUCACCCCCACAGUCGCCUCUCUCUCUUUUCACCGUGUCUCUCUCGUCGCUCUGGUCUCUCUGGUCUCUCAUCAGCACAUCUCUCUCAUCUCAGGUUUGGAUUUCAAGUUAGGGCAUGGUUUGAGGGCUCGAUGCUUUGAUACUCCUAACUAGGGGUUUCUCUCUUUAAAUCAGGGCUUCAUUUCUUUAUUUUCUUCCAUUUACAGGUCUUUCUUCUUUUAAACUACAUCUAAUCGUACUUUAUCUUUGAUUUCAGGUAUUUUCAGCGGAGGCUUUGCAUUUGGAAUUAGGGCUUCUUCGGUUGAUUUUAAGGAUUUCAUUUAAAGGAUUUAAAAUUAGGGUUUCAGUUUAAAGAUUUUGCUACAGCUGGACUUAAAAAAGCUGAAUCGAAGGACAAACAAAAAGAAAAGACGCGGGAUGGGAGUGAAGAUUAUGAUCCAGCACAGGAUGAUGGUAGCGAUGCUGCUGGAUCAGUGUCUCCACCAAAGGGAAAGAAGAAAGAAAGUAAAAAAAAGCUUGUCAUGGGACGUGGACCAACAACACGUUCUCGAGCCAAUGUUGGAAGCAAGACAACUGAGGAUGGAAGCGAUAAGGAACCGACGCAUCAUUCGGUACAACCAACAACAGUUGCAAAUCCAUUAAUUGAGAUACCCCAAGCAGAUGAUGGAAAUGGUUCAAUGACUGCUUUUUUGGCUCUCCGGAAACGCCAACAAGAGGAAGCUAAAAAGGAAAAAGAAGAAAAAGAAAAGCUCGAAAAAGAAAGAGUUGAAAAGAAAAAAGCUCUUGCAGAUGCAAGUAAAAAGG